rnacentral:lncRNA from 1 species
UUCUUCUUGCUCUCGUCCUUGUCCUUGUCAUCGUCGACCUCCUCGACCUCGCCUUCCUUCUUCUCCUCGGAAGCGUCUUCGUCUUCGUCGUCGCUGAUCUCCUUCUCGGUGGUCUUCUCGGUCCAGAGGUAGAUGGGGUAGCUGAUGAACUCCGAGUGCUUCUUGACGAGGUCCUUGAGGCGGCGCUCCUCGAGGUACUCGAGCUGGUCGUCCUUGAGGAAGAGCGUGAUCUUGGUGCCGCGGCCGAGCCGCUCGCCCUCCGUGUCGAGGGUGACGGUGAAGGAGCCGCCGGCCUGCGACUCCCACACGUACUGCUCGUCGUCGUUGUGCUUGGUGGUGACCACCACCUUGUCGGCGACGAGGUAGGCCGAGUAGAAGCCGACCCCGAACUGGCCGAUCAUGCUCACGUCCGCGCCCGCCUGCAGCGCCUCCAUGAACUCCUUGGUGCCCGAGCGCGCGAUGGUGCCCAGGUUGUUCACAAGGUCUGCGGCCACGGCAAACAAUCAUAAGAGAUUUGGUCAUCGUCAUCAGAUCAGAGGCAAAUGGAAGUUCAGUCUGAAACUCUAGAUUAGUUGUCGUCAGACAUUCAGACAUUCAGCAACGACUGAACAUUUAAAUUCAGGCAGACAUUCAGCAACGAUGACACCUCUAAAUUCAGGCAGACAUUCAGCAACGAUGACACAUCUAAAUUCAGACAGACAUUCAGGGAUUCAGCAACAAUAGCACAUAAUGAAUUCAGCCACCAUCCAUGAUUGAUGGAUUGAGAGUGGAAGAGGAUGCGGCCAUAGAUAGAUAGAUAGAUGGAUACCUGACUUGGUCAUGCCGACGCCGCUGUCGAUGAUGGAGAGCGUCUUGUUGGCCUUGUCGGGGACGAGGCGGAUGAAGAGCUCCGGCUGCGCGUCGAGCUUGCUCUUGUCUGUCAGGCUCUCGAACCGGAUCUUGUCAAGCGCCUGCAAGCAAAGCAUCAUUGGGUGUGAGCAAAUCAAGCAACAAAUGAAUCAUCUCUGACUCUGACGACGAACGAACAGACAAGGCAGAGAAGCAGAGGAAACAGAGCAAGGAAGGAACAGACAGAGGAGGAAGGAAGGAAGAGAGGAGAACAUACGUCUGACGAGUUUGAUAUGAGCUCGCGGAGGAAGAUCUCCUUGUUGGAGUAGAAGGUGUUGAUGAUGAGCGAGAGCAGCUGGUUGAUCUCCGCCUGGAACGCGAAGGUCUCCGUCUCCAUCUGCACGUCCGACGCCAUUGCCGUCUCCGCUGCCACUUCUCGAAGGGAAAUUGGGGGAAGAUGGCUGGGUGGGCUGCUGAUUCCUCGGCCGAUUCGCUGCGUUGAUUGCUCUGAUCGCUUGCUUGUCGCGCUGCGGGAAGAGGUUUGGGGACAGACAGAUUGACGAACAGGUGGCGGGCGGGAGGAUUUAUACCCCGGAGAUGGGAUCGCUAGGGGCCUUCGCAGGUGUUCUGGUGCCUUCCACGGAUUACCGGCACGAGCUCCGGCGCGCGUUCGCGGGCGUUCCCGAAGCUUCUUGUGGUCUCUCCCCCCUCCCGCUCCGUUGGUGCGGAGAGCGGCGAGGCGGUCGCCUUGGCCUGCCCGAGCCUUGUCCCGAAGCUUCUACAUACUACAAUGGACCUUAGCAGAAAUGGGGAGGCUGCUAUAUCUCGCUUGUACGCACGCGUAUGGGCCGGCCCAGGAUGCCCAAACCAGAAAGCAAAAGUGAAUAGGUGGUAGAGGGUGUGUGUGUUGCUGUGUCAAAUUGAGAUUGUGUGGGCGUUCGCUCAAGUUCGACGCCAUCAAGAAUCAUCAUUGGACGGAUGCCCACCCCUCAAAAAUAAAAAAUAAAACCAUUGGAUGGAUGCCCGGGCGUUGAGAAGGCGGGGCGCUCUUGGAUGCGGAGAGAACAAUGCCAAAGAGAACUCGGCAAAUGACCUCGUAAGUUCGGGUUUCUAUCGGGGCUUCCUUUAAUUUCUUGCCGCUUUCUACGCGAGCAUCUUGUAAAAUACAUGGGUAACUUAUGUUAAACAUAAGACAAGCGUUUUUACAAUGCGUGAUGAAACUAUUUUUAAUAUGGCAUGCAUUUUCUAUAUACACAUGGACCAUUUUAAUAUGAGAUUAACAUGUUUUCGUACAUUACAAGCAUCCGUUAAGUUCAUGAAAAUUUUUUGAGACAUGAUGAACACAUUAUAAGUUCACGAUGAACAUUCUUAACACACCAUUUAAGUACAUUCUUUAAGACAAUUUGAACAUUUUUAAUACACGUGUCAACAUUUUGUCAAGACAAGAUGACUUGAACGUUUUUACUUUAACAUCUUUCUACAUUAUUGUUCGUGAUGUUCAUCGAUUUCAAUAGAAACACAAAAAAGUGUUCAUGAUGCUUUUAUAAAGGUUCGUGAUGUUCAUUGAUUUCAAUAGAAACAUGAAUUAUUGUUCAUGAUAUUUCUUAAUGUUCAUUGAUUCGAAUUAGUGUUCAUUUAAAUGUUCGUGAUCUUCAUUGAUUUCAAUAGAAACACGAAUUAGUGUUGAUGAAAUUUUUAAAAAAUGCUAAAAAAGGAAAAAAAUAUGUUCGUGAAUUUCAAAAUUUGUUCCCACAUUUCAAAAAAACUUCGCCAGUUCAGAAAAUGUCUCCGAUUCAAAAAUAAUGAAUUCAGAAAAGUGUUCAUGCAUAUGAAAAAAAGUUCAUCAAACAAAGUGUUCAUGAUUUUAAAAAAUUGUACGCCGAUUUCAAAAAUAUUCACGAGUUCAAAAAAAUGUUUGCAAUUUCAGAAAAAACAUUCAUGAAUUUGUAAAGAAGUUCAUGAAUUCAAAAAAUGUUCAUGAUUUCGAAAAAUAUUUGAAAAACUUGAAAAAAUGUUCAUGAUUUAAAAUCAAGUGAUCAAGAAUUUGAAAAAGUACUCAUGAUUUUAAAACAAAUGUUCACAAAUGACGCAUUACAAGUCCUUAGUAUGAGAAUCAUAUUCGAGGAAGAGACACACAAGGAUUCUCGAAGAGAAAGGAGCUGCUCUAGAGGAUCUAAUCCUCAACGAAGAGCCAGGCGCUGAAUUUGAGAUCAUCAAGGCAUUCAAACCAAUCGGUUAUUGCCGGUGUCUUUUCUUCUUUUCAACAAAAUUCCCUUUCCUUCUCGUGUUGGCGGCGCCGCCGAUUCGCCCCACCUUCGAUGGCCUUUGGGCCGUGGAGGUGCGGAGGACCCCCUCCCCCCCCGCCCCCGCCGCGCUACGAGAGGGACCCCGUUCUCUUUUUUGUUAGAUACAACAUCUUGGUUGGGGCUGUGUGGUGGUGAUGAUGUCCCUUAGUAGGAAUAAUGUUUCCCACGUCCUAUCCCCCGCCCCAAUGGUGCGAAUAACAUCGUCGGAGGAUGUGUGGAGGUGUGUCUCCGCUGGACCUCACGGAUUCGGUCGGUGUUAGUCUUCGAUGGAUCUGUUUGGAUCUAGUUCAUCUUCGAUCUACAACUCUCUUCAUCGGCGAUGAUUACUGCUCUGAUGCGAUGGUCCUUUGGGGCCUUAGCACGACGACUACCCCACUGUCUACUACAAAAAGAUUUGCCCGGCUUCAGUGAGGGAGUGGGGAUGACGGCGGCGCGCCUUCAGCACACUCGAGUGCUUAUAGUCGUCGCUAGAUGGUCCAUGUACUUGGUUGUGAUUUUAAUUACCUCUAGUGUUCUUUGUAUGACAUGAUUGAUGAAUAGAUUGAAAAAUUUUCUCGCAAAAGAAAGGCAUUCAAACCAAGCGAAGAAUGCACUCCUACAAAAGGAUCUAAUUAUUUUUACCUGAUUCCUAUCAAAUCUCAAUGCCCGUAAUGAUGCACACUGUUGCCCACCAUUUGUGUGGAGACCAUCUCAAUUAUCACCAUCUCCCAAACUGGAUUUUGUUUUCUAAAAUUUAGGUUAAACCAGGUACAUAUUUUAUUUUUUUAAAGUAAAAUGUGAAAAGUUUGCAUGGAAAACGAUUUUUGAAAAAAAAAGGAGCAAAUGGUGGUAGAUUGGACAAAUCGUGCUCAAGAAGUUUUUGGGCCAACAAUAAUGCCUAGUAGAUCAAAAGUUGACUCCGGAGAUGGGCCCAGGCAAAGAGUGGGCUUUCAAGGUUCCGCUAGGGUUUAACGCCCUCGACGCCGCCGCACGCUCCGAAGGAGAAGAAAAGAAAUGGCAUCCUUGGCCCGCGCCGCCGCCACCGCCGCCAGAGCGGCCCUCCGCCCGGCGCCCCUCGCCGGCCGGGGCCUCGGCCUCGGCUCCUCCCUGCCGUCUUCCUCCCCCGCACGGGCCGCCCGAAUCCUCCGCAGGUAUGCUGUCCAGUAGUCAGUAGAUGAGUGGAUCGAUGGGCGUGGCUGUGUGUGUGACAUCGAGGUUUCCUGCAGGUCGGCGGUGGCGGGGCUGGAGACGCUGCUGCCCCUGCACACGGCGGUGGCGUCGGCGCGCCUCAAGUCCUGCAUCGCCGUCGACUCCACCUGCUGGUGCUCCCUCUCCCAAGGUACCAAACCCGCGCGGCGCCUUAUCCACCCCCCUUUCAGUUUUUCUGGUUAUCCACAUUUGCACUAGUUGAAUGUGUCAGCCUCAGAUUAAUUUAUAUAUCCACCAAGAACAACCCUGUAAAAUCCUGGAGUUUGACAGUUACAACUGAGUACAAUGUUGAGCGGUGUGUGGUAUUACAUUCCGAUGGGGAAUAGCUGUUAUCGACAUGCAAACCUGCACACAAGAGAGUGAAUCCUGUUGAUGCUACAUGGUUUAUGAGGUUCGAUAUGGAAAUGCGGUGUUGCUGUGGAGGGAUUCAGUUACUGACAUGCAUAAUAGUUGAAUAUACGGCGGUGAGAAGUAUUGUUCAUUCUUAGUCGAGACUAAAUUGCCAAGUUUGUAAACCUUUAUAUCUGUGAGUGAUAUAUAAUGAUCCCUUACCCUAUAAUGAUAAGAUUCUAGAACACCUUGAGGCUAGCUGUUCGUUAAUACCUGCUGGUUGUUACUAUCGCUCUUUUUUAUGAAGGCAGUUAGUAUUUAACAUCUAUCGUUUCAGCGCCAAGCGACCAAACAAUGUUUUGUUUCUGGUCAGUUAGGAUGAUUCGUCCGCUUCUAUCCAUUGUCCUCAACUAAUUCCGUGUAUUAGUUCAUGUUUGGUUAAUUUUAUAGUAUGUGGGACCAUGUGUUUUCUUUGCUUGACUUUAUCUAUCAGUGACAGCAUAUUCAUGGCACUAUGCAGUUUUAGUAAGCUGUGUGCUUCAUAGUAGAAAAAUCAAUUCAAAAUGUUGUACUUCUUGAUCUUCAUAAGUCUGAACAGUUAAGGAUCGAUGAAGAAUGAACUUGAUUGGCUUAGUUUUCCCAAUUGCAGUAGUGUCAGAUCCUUGGUUUUCAUGAUCUAGAUACCUGUAUAUUUCAUAUCUUUUUACUUGACGAUUUUUGUCAUAUUUCUUGGAACGGAUCCAUGGGCACCUUACACUUUGGAUUUGAGCGAGUAGUUUUUGGUUGUUGUGAUAUCCGGAUGGUUACCUAAGAAUAUCCAUUUUGUAUCACUUUACCUAGAGACAACACCAAAAGUAACAUCUGCAACCCUUUGUGUGUUUCCUCAUUCACAUAGUUAAUUUUACUUUUCCUACCACCUGUCCCCUCCUAACAGUUCUCACCAUGCUCUCUCUUGUACUUCACCCAAUCACUCCCCAACUAGAAUUCCAGGUGACAUGGCAGGAAAACGGUAGCCUACGUAGCCUAUGUUAUAUACUGAGGUUGACGAGCUAUAUGGCAUGUUUACAUUAAGAAUUUUGCCAUGGUAGAGUAGUAAUUGUGAUGUUCCUGGGCUCCAUCAAACAAAUAUGUCAUCCUGUCCCGGCAGCAAGGAUAGUAUUUUCAAGUCUUAUGCCCCCAAAUGUAGUUCUCAGUAAUGCAGGUCACUCGUUUAACUUUUGACAGCUGUUUCUCUUUUGGUGUCAGUAAUGCAUAUAAGAUGCUGCUAGUUUUGUGUGUCAGUAAUACAUACUCCUUUAUUCAACCAGGAAAUAUCAAAUUGAUCAAUUAAUGCUACUAAGUGAAUUGAAAUGGUUAUUGUCCAUUGUUUCCUUUUGAAAAGGAUUGGGGUAUUUAUCUAUUGACUAUGGUUGUUAUAGGUUUUAAAAAGCGCGUCUGAUCAUGGUUAGGAGCUGUGCAGCUGAGAAGUGAAGACACCGAGUUAGUGCAUUUGUUUGCUGAUAGUUCUUAGACAUGUGUCCCAUCUAUUUUGCCAUUGCUCUCGAUGAAUGUACUCUUAACAAAAUAAUGCAUACUGUUUUUUGUGUGUCAUAUACUGAAUAUUGUGGUCUUGCUUGGCAGACCAGAGUCCUUUUAUUCAACCAGUAAUGCAUAUCAAAAUGUUAGUUUUGUGUGCCAGUAAUAACAUAUUGAAUAUUGACAUCUUGCUUGGUAGACUAGACUCCUAUACAGCGAGGAAAUAUCGAAUUGAUCAUGUCUAGUUACUAAGUGAGUUGAACAUGAGAUGUUUGUGGUUGGCACCAAGUGAAUUGAAAUGCUUAUUCUCCGUUUUUUCUUAUCGGAAAGGAUGGGGUAUUUAUCUAUUGACUAUGGUUGUUAUAGGUUUUAAAAAGCGCAUCUGAUCAUGGUUAGGAGCUGCACAGCUGAGAAGUGAAGACACCGAGUUAAAAACAAAGUGCAUCUGUUUGCCGAUAGUGCCUAGAAUAUGUAUCACAUCUAUUUUGCCAUUGCUCUCAGUGAAUGUACUCUUAUAACAAAAUAAUGGAGCAUGCCACAAGUUGCCCCCUUGUCUCUGGGACAUUGUUUUUUUGUUGAGCCUGGAAAAACCUUGGAAGGAUGUCAUAUUUUUGCUUCUUAACGCGAUGUGUUGUGUAUUGCGUCAUCUAUUCUUGUCCUGACCUGUUCUUACAUUUCGUGAUAUAGGAUAUGCUUUGCCUUUGUGACAAAGAGCUGCCCCCGAAGAAACCAAUGAACAUUAAGGAUCACAGACAUUUCGGGCUGUAAUAAUUAGAUACUUGCAAACUGACAGUGGCACAGUGCAUCCAGACCUGUUUAAUGAUUAUAUAAUGUGAUUCCUCCAUGUUUUGGAGGAAGUUUGUUUGAUGCUGAAAGUUUACGCCCUGUGUGUUUUCUGCGGCUCUUGCUUUGUUAUGCAUCCCUUGAGCCUUUUUCUUGUGAUAUUUGAAACUGGGUUCGUGUGGAUUGGCACAAAACGUUUGUAGUUCAGGUCAGGAGCCCUUUAUGGUUAUGGAGAAAUCAUAGAUUUGUCAUUUUUCCAUAUGUCUUGUUUGUUUAAAAUGUGCGUCCUUGGCUCUAUAUAUGAUUAGUUGUAUGUGUGUUUAUUCUUUGAGGUUUCAGUUGCUUGUUACUUUGAGGGAGUGACACAUUUAACAUUUUAUAACAGGCCUGGAAGGCUUCAAACAGAUUGUGCCAACUGAUUGUUUAACCAACUGUUAUUGUAAGAUUUCUCUAAAAAAGUGUAGUAAAGACUAGGGCGUGUCACCUGACCGGCACUGGCUGAGUUGCCGAUGGAGCCUAGUCCUCUUGGCUGGGCGGCGGCGUGGUCGUCCUUGCUUUCUAUGAUGGCAGAUUUUCUUGACACUGAUGUUGCUCCGGAUGGUGAUGGUGUUCUCAUCAUGCUCUCGUUGCAUGUGAACAUGGCGUGCGCGCACACAUGUGAUCUGAAAACCGAGUGACACAUGCCAAUGAAAAACUGCGAAAAAUCAUAAACAUGGCACACACAUGUACUAGUAGCGAUUGUGUGAAAACCAAAAUGGUGAAUGCCAAGGAAAUUGAAAGAACCAUGAACAUGGCUGGCUAAAACCAACAAACAAAUGCUAAGGAAAACCGGAAAACCAUGAAAAUGGCGCGCACAUGGCGUGGCUCAUCUGGAAACCAGAAGAUAUAGUCCAAGAAAAAACCCGAAAAACCAAACGAACAACCUUGCAACACGAGAUCUUUAGGCUUUGCUCCUAGCCAUGCUGGAGUGUGCCUGCCACUCAAUUCUUAUAGUUAUCACGUCACAUGCAUCCCAAUCAAGACACAUACAGGAAACACAUCGCACAUAUAUAAGAAAACUGAUAUUUUUAUUCAUCACAACAAAGGGACCUAAAAGUCCGGGUGGCUACAUAGGAUCUUCCGGAUGAGAAAGGACAACGAUCCCAUCUUCUUAUUUGAAAUGAGAAACAAACGCCGAAAAUAAGAACAUUAGCUGUUGUUGCUUAGAGCGGGCGCACGUAGACACCAAGCGCAUCGAGAUAUAUCCCACUACGCCCGAAGAAGCCCACUAUGCUGCUAUUGUUUUCCACAGGUAUGGUGAAAGGGGUUCCAUUCGCUUCUCCGAAAGGCCCAUAAGCCUUCACAUUGGUGAUGAAUUUCAGUGACAUUAUUAUGUUGUGUUGGUCUGCGUCAUAAAUGCCGUAUGUUCCAGAAACUUCCUUCACAAACUCAGAAGCCCCGAGUACGAUCUGCAUAGCAUGCAAAAGAAAAAAGAAGUGUUGAGUUGCUUACACAUGGAAUUGAGAAAAUCAGAUUAAAAUUAAUUCGGAGAUCGAACCGUGUUCGGAUUUCCUCCGGAUCCUCCCCAGGGUCCACUUGUGUGCUUCUGGCCAGCUUGGUCAACAUAAGAAAAUUUGAUUGAAUCAAUAAUCGAGCCGCUGCUAACUGUGAUGCUCUCUAGACGCCUUGGUGCCUCAACGAUGUCUUUAUCUGACCCUCCACUUCCACCCCAUGGCCCAAGCUUUGUGAGAAGGCUCUACAAGAUAUAAUAAUCAUGUGAUGUUUGUUUAAAUUAAAAGGAUCGGCGUGAUCAAAAGUCAACAAAUGUUUCUAUGGAGAGAAAUAGCAAUAUGUUUUAAUUAAAAAUAAAUAAAUAAGUAACUAUUUCUAUGGAUAUUCAUCUCACCGGCGAGCCUUUCAGCACUGGACAGAACGCGUGGACAGUGAGUUCUAUGAUGUUACCGUCGCUCCUCUGCUCAUGGAACUUUUUGUAUAUGACACCGUUUGCCAUUGCGAACUGUCCUGUGCCACCAACAAUAGCCCACUCACCUUCCUCAACAGAUAUCCCCAUCACCUGAAGCGUUGACCCCUUAAACCUGUAUCAUGUCCACAGAUGGUCGGCAACUGUAUCAUGCACUGAAAUAUGCAACACCACCUAAUAAUAGAAUCAAAUGUAGCUUAACUAAUCCACAUGAAGAUGCAUUUCUUGGCAAAGGUAUAUAACCGUGCAUUUAUAUUUUUGUUGACAGCUAAUAUAAGGUAUAUAUAACCAUAUACUCCCUCCGUCCUAAAAUUCUUGUCUUAGAUUUGUUUAGAUACGGAUGUAUCAAGUACAUCCGUAUCUAGACAAAUCUAAGAUAAGAAUUUUAAGACGGAGGGAGUAUGAAACUGAAAGCAUAUGUGUAGGUACCUUUCAACUUCAAAGGUUAUGCUGAAGGUGUUCUGCCAGUUACCGGCAUAGAUAUGCAGGCCAUGUGCACGUGCAACGACGGUGGCACCGGGGCUAGGGCUAUCACAUAUCGCCCAGUUGUUAACAGCCGUCUGACCCAAACCGGUACUAGCAUUCGGGUCUAUUACGGUGGACUGGGUCUGGUUUGCGCCGAGGGAAGUGUGGAACAGGUACAGACUGCGGAAGUUGAGCUCGUUGCUCUCCACGAACGCGGCGCGGGGAGUGAUCUGGAAAUUGGAGGGGUUCGCCAUGGCGGAGUUGGGUGUGGCUCAACGGAUGGUAUAGGCUUAUGAGAUAGUAGGUCGCUGUGUGUGAGAACUCGAAGGUUGGGAGUGGUAUUUAUAGAUCGCUAGCAUCCCACGCAUCUCGCAUACUCCAUGGCAAUGUGCAUCACGAACACCAUAGCAUCCACAUAGAAAGGAAUCGUUGAACAAUGGGAUAAUCUAUGAUAUUGUCCACCGCCAAGCCAGAGAAUCGGUGCUGACUCAGGCUUGUGUAUCACGAGCACCUGUCUCACCGGCAAGCAAAUCACUGGAUCUCAGAUACACCGGCAGUAAUAAAUGAAGGUAUGGGUAACGCUUCACGUUGUAUAACCGAAGACGGACGUACACCUUGUGCAUCACAACUAGGUAAGAUCUUCACUCUGCUCAAGGCUCAUGGAAGUAAACAAAUAGAGGAUAUAAAUCCAUGUGCAUGGACGUGAUCAUCUGUGCCUCGGGAUAUUUUUCAUUGGGCUGGUUAGGGCAUCUCCAAACCAGCAAAACAGAUAUCGCAUCUGUCUGCGGACACGUAUGUGGAAACUGGCCAUCCAAAACUAUCCGUAUACAUCUGAUCUCAACUUUUUUUUAAAUUCCGCACACUCAAAUAGCUGCAUACAUAGUUUAGAAUAGUUCGAAUGUUUAAAUGCAGCAAUAGUUUUAAUUUAAAAAAGUUCAAAUAUUAUACUCCAACAUUGUUGCCUCCUUUAACCGUCCACAGGUGAUCAAUUAGAUCUUCCUUCAGUUACUUGUGAGUUGCUCGAUGCCGAAUUUGUCGAUGCAUUUGAACAAACUCUUCAAAUAUGGCUGGAUUCUGGUCUGGAAGUUCGUUAAGAUCACACAUAUUCUCAAACUCAAUACUUGCGGCAGCAUACUGAUAACCCACAAGUAUAGGGGAUCGUUUGUAGCCUUCUUUGAUAAAUAAGAGUGUCGAACCCAAUAUGGAGCUAAAGGUAGAACAAGUAUUCCCUCAAAUUCUAUCGACCAGCGAUACAACUCUACGCACACUUGACAUUUGCUUUACCUAAGACAAGUAUGAACCUAUUUUACAAGAAUAAAACUACGAGUACGUUGUGAGAAUAGAACUACGAGUAAAUUGUAAGGUAAUAAAAGUGGAUAUCUUUUGUCAACAAGAAAGUCAUUUGUCCCUAGGCAAUCGAUAACAAAUACCGGUAAUCAUUCUUGUAAUUUUAUAUGAGGAAGAGGCAUGAGCUAACAUACUUUCUCUACUUGAAUCUAUGCACUUAUGAUUGGACCCCUAGCAAGCAUCUGCAACUACUAAAAAUCAUUAAGGUCGUGAAACCCAACCAUAUCAUUAAGUAUCAAGUCCUCUUUAUCCCAUACGCAACAAUCCACCUACUCGGGUUUAAGCUUCUGUCACUCUCGCAACCCACCUUAAGCAAAUCAUGAACGUAUUGCAACACCCUAUAGCGGGGACCCUCAUGUAGACCAAACUCAUAACUCAAAUAUUCUCCUCCACGAUCAGAUCGUAGAAACUUUAUUUUCUUGUUAUGAUGAUUUUCAACUUCACUCUGAAAUUCUUUAAACUUUUCAAAUGUUUCAGACUUGUGUUUCAUUAAGUAGAUAUACCCAUAUCUGCUCAAAUCAUCUGUGAAGGUGAGAAAAUAACGAUAUCCGCCACGAGCUUCAAUAUUCAUCGGACCACAUACAUCCGUAUGUAUGAUUUCCAACAAAUCUGUUGCUCUCUCCAUAGUACCGGAGAACGGUGUUUUAGUCAUCUUGCCCAUGAGGCACGGUUCGCUAGUGCCAAGUGAUUCAUAAUCAAGUGACUCCAAAAGUCCAUCAGUAUGGAGUUUCUUCAUGCGCUUUACACCGAUAUGACCUAAACGGCAGUGCCACAAAUAAGUUGCACUAUCAUUAUCAACUCUGCAUCUUUUGGUUUCAACAUUAUGAAUAUGUGUAUCACUACUAUCGAGAUUCAUCAAAAAUAGACCAUUCUUCAAGGGUGCAUGACCAUAAAAGAUGUUACUCAUAUAAAUAGAACAAUCAUUAUUCUCUGAUUUAAAUGAAUAACCGUCUCGCAUCAAACAAGAUCCAGAUAUAACGUUCAUGCUCAACGCUGGCACCAAAUAACAAUUAUUUAGGUCUAAAACUAAUCCCGAAGGUAGAUGUAGAGGUAGCGUGCCGACCGCGAUCACAUCGACUUUGGAACCAUUUCCCACGCGCAUCGUCACCUCGUCCUUUGCUAGUGUCCGCUUAAUCUGUAGUCCCUGUUUCGAGUUGCAAAUAUUAGCAACAGAACCAGUAUCAAAUACCCAGGUACUACUGCGAGCUCUAGUAAGGUACACAUCAAUAACAUGUAUAUCACAUAUACCUUUGUUCACCUUGCCAUCCUUCUUAUUCGCCAAAUACUUGGGGCAGUUCCGCUUCCAGUGACCAGUCUGCUUGCAGUAGAAGCACUC